GUUGGGGUUUAAUACCACUGGCGGAGGGUUUAUUACUCCGGUUGAUGGAAGCGAAGAUGUGUUUCUUUCAUGAAUCAGCACACCCAGGAGAAGCGGUGUUGGAGGUGGAUGCGACACAAAAAUCCAAGAAAGUAAACCCCACUGAGGAAGCUGCCGAAAGUUAAUCGGUCUCUGGUAGCCCGACUUCUUGAGGAGGAUGAAGAGUUGAAUGAGAUUUAGGGAAGUGAUGAUGCAGAUGUUCAGAAAACAUCAAAGAAUAAGAAAGGUCUCACGAGUGAAGUUCUCAAAGAUAUGAGGUUUACAACUAUGUUUGAAAAUAAGCAGCCAAAUUACGUCGUUUCUUGACACCGCUUGCAGAACUUUGAGGUUGAUGAAUUCUCAAACGAAUACCUGGCUUUGCACCCAAUGACAUCAAUAACAAAAAAAGGCAUCUUUGCUGGAGGAGCAUUUUCAAGCUGUUGAAGAAGAGGAUGAAAAGGCUAUUGGUGGUUCUGAUGCAUCAUGAGCGAGUGAAUUGUGAGAUGAUGAGCAUGAAAACACAAAGGCCAAAUUCAGGAAGAAAGUACAAGCUCCUAGAUUUUUCAAAGUGAAGGAUAAAUGGCAAAAUAAGGAUUUUCUAAAAACCCCUCAAAAACAGAGAGGAAAAACCAACAGAGGGAUUGGGGUUUAGUACCACUGGCGGAGGGUUUAUUACUCCGGUUGAUGGAAGCGAAGAUGUGUUUCUUUCAUCAAUCAGCACACCCAGGAGCACCGUUUGGAGGUGGAUGCGACACAAAAAUCCAAGAAAGUAAACCCCACUGGUAAAAACCCUCAAAACUACUGUUCGCCUCCCAUCAUCAAACCCCAUCAAUACCCACAUGUUUCCACUUCUCGAAUUUUUUAUUUCUUUUAUUUAGGGUUUGAAAAGUUGUCCUCAAGCAAAAGUCCGACACUGCAAAAAAUAUGAUCUCAACAUUGUGCUAAUAUUCCGUAACAACAAAGGUAACCUAUAACCCAUAUGCAGAUAAUCUCAAAACACAAAUGCCGCAAUA